rnacentral:rRNA from 1 species
ACGCUGGGGGGGCGUGGUUUAACCACAUGCAAGUUGGAACGAGAAUUUACUGAAAGAGUUUUCGGACAAUGGAGUUAAGGAAAGUGGCGGACGGGUGAGUAAACGCGUGAGGAACCUGCCUUGAAGAGGGGGACACCAGUUGGAAACGCUUGCUAAUACCGCAUGAUGCAUAAGAGUCGCAUGGUUUUUAUGCCAAAAGAUUUAUCGCUUCAAGAUGGCCUCGCGUCUGAUUAGCUAGUUGGCGGGGUAACGGCCCACCAAGGCGACGAUCAGUAGCCGGACUGAGAGGUUGAACGGCCACAUUGGGACUGAGAUACGGCCCAGACUCCUACGGGAGGCAGCAGUGGGGAAUAUUGGGCAAUGGGCGCAAGCCUGACCCAGCAACGCCGCGUGAAGGAAGAAGGCUUUCGGGUUGUAAACCUCUUUUAAGAGGGAAGAGCAGAAGACGGUACCUCUAGAAUAAGCCACGGCUAACUACGUGCCAGCAGCCGCGGUAAUACGUAGGUGGCACGCGUUGUCCGGAUUUACUGGGUGUAAAGGGCGUGCAGCCGGGUCUGCAAGUCAGAUGUGAAAUCCAUGGGCUCAACCCAUGAACUGCAUUUGAAACUGUAGAUCUUGAGUGUCGGAGGGGCAAUCGGAAUUCCUAGUGUAGCGGUGAAAUGCGUAGAUAUUAGGAGGAACACCAGUGGCGAAGGCGGAUUGCUGGACGAUAACUGACGGUGAGGCGCGAAAGUGUGGGGAGCAAACAGGAUUAGAUACCCUGGUAGUCCACACUGUAAACGAUGAAUACUAGGUGUGCGGGGACUGACCCCCUACGUGCCGCAGUAAACACAAUA